rnacentral:tRNA from 1 species
GCGGAUGUGGCGGAAUUGGCAGACGCGUAAGAUUCAGGUUCUUAUAGUCGCAAGGCUGUGCAGGUUCAAGUCCUGUCAUCCGCACCA